AUAGCUUGCCUAUAAAAGCAUUGCUACUUGAAGCCCGAGUCAGAUUUUGGAGGAGGAAUUUAGGGAUUUUAGAGGAGAUAUUUUAGAGAUUUUAGAAAGAAAAAAAUAGAGAAUAACUCUGAAGCAUCAAAAAUAGCUAGGAAAUUUCAGAAAAAUUACUGUUCCAUUGGUCUUCUUUUGUGAUUUCUGAAGCUUUUAAUCUCUGAAAAAUUUCUGAUUCACUUGGGGUAAAAAUGGACUGAAUUUGGGUUUCAAAGGGUUGGUUUAAGUUGCUGGGUCUCAUCAUUAUUCUUUCGUCAAAUUUCAAGUCGAUUCUACUGUGGUUUCCUUUCAUUUGAGCCUGCUACUUCUGCUAUUUUCUGCUCACUCCUAGCUCAUUUUCUUAUUGAUUUGCUGUUAUAACGAGGUAUAUCCUGAACCUCGUUUGGCAUGGUGAAAUGAAAUAUUUGGUUGUGUUUGCCUUGAAUUGGAGGCUGCGGGCUUGCACAUUUAAUCAAUUUCAUUUUUCUGUAGUUCGAGUAUAUCCAAAUGUGUAUUUAAGUUAGUUCUCCUUCAUGCAUAAUCAUGCUCCUUUUGUGUUAUUGGAUGCAAUGUUGUUAGAUUGAACUUGAUGUAUAAACCUGGACAUUUGCUCAAAUGUGGUAGCUUGGGGUGUGAGUUUAUUGAAAUAAGUUCUGAGUGUAUAUUGACUUGUUGUAAUUGUGGUAUUAGAAGAUUCUGACUCACCUAUGUGAAAAAUUACUUUAGUCUAGUUGAAAUUAGUAUUUUCUUUUGGGAUUGAUUUUUGUUUGAAGUCCUAAAGUGAUCCAUAUAGAUUUGAAACCAAAAUGUUCAGCCAAAGUUCAUGUUAGUAGAUGCUUUUUUUAUUUGAGAAUUGUGUUGUUCGGGCUAUGAAGCAAUCUGGGUUGAAGUUUAUGGUACAUGAAAGCCUUAGUGUAUGCUAAUUAUAGAAUAAAAUUUAUGUUGAUAAAUGUUC
rnacentral:lncRNA from 1 species